rnacentral:rRNA from 1 species
AGAGUUGAUCUGGCUCAGGACGAACGCUGGCGGCGUGCCUAACACAUGCAAGUCGAACGAGAAUCUCUGGAACGAGACUCGGUCAAGGGAAGGAGAGGACAGUGGCGGACGGGUGAGUAACGCGUGAGCAACCUGCCCUUCAGAGGGGGACAACAGCUGGAAACGGCUGCUAAUACCGCAUAACAUAUCUGUAAGGCAUCUUAUAGAUAUCAAAGAUUUAUCGCUGAAGGAUGGGCUCGCGUCUGAUUAGCUUGUUGGUGGGGUAAUGGCCUACCAAGGCGACGAUCAGUAGCCGGACUGAGAGGUUGAACGGCCACAUUGGGACUGAGAUACGGCCCAGACUCCUACGGGAGGCAGCAGUGGGGAAUAUUGGGCAAUGGGGGGCAACCCUGACCCAGCAACGCCGCGUGAAGGAAGAAGGCUUUCGGGUUGUAAACUUCUUUGACGAGGGACGAAUGAUGACGGUACCUCGAAAACAAGCCACGGCUAACUACGUGCCAGCAGCGGC